CGGCAACGGAUAUCUCGGCUCUCGCAUCGAUGAAGAACGUAGCGAAAUGCGAUACUUGGUGUGAAUUGCAGAAUCCCGUGAACCAUCGAGUCUUUGAACGCAAGUUGCGCCCGAAGCCAUCAGGCCGAGGGCACGCCUGCCUGGGCGUCACACGYCGUUGCCCUCC
rnacentral:rRNA from 1 species